rnacentral:rRNA from 1 species
AUUGAACGCUGGCGGCAUGCUUUACACAUGCAAGUCGAACGGUAACAGGCCGCAAGGCGCUGACGAGUGGCGAACGGGUGAGUAAUGCAUCGGAACGUGCCCAGUCGUGGGGGAUAACGCAGCGAAAGCUGCGCUAAUACCGCAUACGAUCUCUGGAUGAAAGCGGGGGACCGAAAGGCCUCGCGCGAUUGGAGCGGCCGAUGUCAGAUUAGGUAGUUGGUGGGGUAAAGGCCCGCCAAGCCAACGAUCUGUAGCUGGUCUGAGAGGACGACCAGCCACACUGGGACUGAGACACGGCCCAGACUCCUACGGGAGGCAGCAGUGGGGAAUUUUGGACAAUGGGCGCAAACCUGAUCCAGCAAUGCCGCGUGCAGGAAGAAGGCCUUCGGGUUGUAAACUGCUUUUGUACGGAACGAAACGGUCCGGGUUAAUACCCUGGGCUAAUGACGGUACCGUAAGAAUAAGCACCGGCUAACUACGUGCCAGCCGCCGCGGUAA